rnacentral:lncRNA from 1 species
CUCAUUCUCUUCUCCAUACUGCCGAAACUUUCAGAAAGCCAUGGCUAGGGUUUCAAGCUUUUUCAAAGUUCAAUUGUAAGUGCAUUUGAGCCCCGUUUUUAAUGUUCUUCGUAUUUUUGAGAUCCUAGAAGCUUAACCUUUCUAUUUUUACUAUUUAUUUGCAUGAAAAAUGAAGUUUAAAAAUUUACCCAUGCUAGAUAUUUGUGCAUUUUGAUGUUUAAUGAUAGAAUAAUGGUGCACGAGGUUAGGAGAACGAUUUUUGCUAAGUGAUUUUCGUUGAAAAUGGUUAAAACGGGUUAAUUAGUAAAAGUUGUAAAUGCUCCUAAAAGUUGUAAAUAAUAAGAAUUUGAGGUUGCUUUAGAAGAGAAAAAGGUUUGGCUGACCUUGAAUGUUAUGGAAAUUGAAUAAAAAUCAUAUUACGAGCCUAGGGGCAAAAUUGUAAUUAUGAGAAAGUUUAGGGGCAAAAUUGUAAAUUUUUCGUAGUAUGAUUUUUAUAUUAAAAUGAGUAAUGUGAGUGAUAAUUAAGUGAAAUGUGACAUUUUAGAUCGAAGAAAUCCAGAUUUGGACUAAGUACGGGGAAAUAUAAAUCAAAAUGAUCGAUUCGCGUUGAGGUAAGUUCAUAUGGUUAGUCUAAGUGAUCGAUUAUUAAAUUUGAAUUAAGAUGAUGUUUUAUUUUAUAUAUAUAUUUGUUAUUUAAUCAUGACUUUAUGCAAGUACAAGAUUAGAUUGAAGGAUCAAUCGUGAGAAAUGCAGGGUCAAGUACAUUCGUACUACAACUCAUGAUGAAUUGAUGGAAAAGACCAUGGUUGGACCAUGGCAGUGAGUGUGCAGUGUAAGACCAUGUCUGGGACAUGGCAUCGGCACAGACCGAUGAGUGCUAGUGUAAGACCAUGUCUGGGACAUGGCAUCGGCACGGACAUAGGAGAGCCAGUGUAAGACCAUGUCUGGGACAUGGCAUCGGCUCGAGUGUAAGACCAUGUCUGGGACAUGGCAUCGGCUCAAGAUGAGAGCCAGUGUAAGACCAUGUCUGGGACAUGGCAUCGGCUCGAGAUGAGGGCCAGAGUAAGACCAUGUCUGGGACAUGGCAUCGGCAUCGAUAUGUGAUUCCAUGUAAGACCAUAUCUGGGAUAUGGCAUUGGCGUCCUACUAGGUUACNNNNNNNNNNNNNNNNNNNNNNNNNNNNNNNNNNNNNNNNNNNNNNNNNNNNNNNNNNNNNNNNNNNNNNNNNNNNNNNNNNNNNNNNNNNNNNNNNNNNGAUUGAAUAUGGAAUAAUUACUUGAGGUGAAUAAUGAAUUACGGUUGAAUAUGGAAGAGUUGGAAAAAGGUUUAAAUAUAUAUAUAUAUGAGAAUUUGUGGUUGAACCUUCGGAAAUGGAUCGGAUAUCGUUGGAAAUAUAGGUGAAUGCUAUUUGCUGAUUCCACCGGAUAUUAAUGAAAAUAAAGGUGAUUGCUAUGUGCUGAUUUCACUGGAUACCAAUGGUUAUAUAAGUGAUUACUAUGUGCUGAAUUCACCCUGUACCAUUGAGUAUAAAGGUAGUUGCUAUGUGCUGAUUUCUCUGAGUACUAUUGAUUAUAAGGGUGGUGUUGUGUGCUGAUCCACCGUGUAACUGAGAUUAUUUCAAUGUGUUUAUUGGGAAACUAAUUAAGUGAAAACAUAUGUUACGAACAAUGUGUUCGAUCUUUAAUCAACCCUUUGGCAUGAUGAAAUGAGGCAUUGAAAUUAAGAAUGAGUAAAUUUAACAACAAAACAGUUUAGGACAGAAACAAUUGUGUGACUUUGAAAAAUCACCAAAAAUGGUGGAAAUUGAAUUAGAGGUUGUAUGAGACAUGAAAUUAAAGCUGAAGGAGUCUAUUUUCAUAUAAAGGAAAUAGAGUAAGCAAAAGAGAUAUAUAUUUUGAGAUAUUUGAAUUCUAGCGAGACAGGGAUAGAAUGAAUUCGAAAUCCCCUGUUCCAACUUUGGAAAAUUAUUAAAAAAUUGUACAAAAAUAAUUAUAGUUUGUAAUUUACAUGCUUAAAUUUAUAAAUGAGUCUACUAUCAAGAGAAACAAGUGGGGACAUCAUUUGAAUUUCGUUCAAUGAGAUAAUUAAUUUUUAGUGAAGAGGGGUCAGAGUUGUCGAACAGUGAAAUAGGGGAAUAUUUAAUGAAUAAAAUGUAUUAAUUGGUAAGAGAUUAUGUGAGUCUAGUUUCAGGGAAAAUCUACGGUUUUUCAUUUGGAGUUCUGUAGCUCGAGAAAUAAAUAAUUUAGUGACAGUGACUCAAGUAGACAGAUUAAUGUGAAUAUUAGUAAUAAAGUGUAAGCAUGUGAUAUAAUGACUAUAUCAUCAUAAGAAAUUAUUGCGAGGAUUUGUCCACACAAGUUUAAUAAUUUCUCAUUAUUUUCAUAUGAACUUACUAAGCAUUUAUGCUUACUUCCUCUCUCUUUUCCUUUACCUUAUAGUAUCGCCAAGUUAGCUCGGGGAUUGGUGGACGUCGGAGAUUCGCUCACACUAUCAAUUAGAACACUUGGUAUAUCUAGAUACAUAAAUUUUUGGGUUAUGGCAUGUAUAGUAGGUUUGGUCGUUUUGUCAUAUAUGUCAUAUAUCUUAUGGCCAAUAUUGACGGUUGUUAUACGCC